rnacentral:lncRNA from 1 species
GUCUUGGCUUGGCAAGUGUGUCUCUCUGCCUCUCAGCCUGGUCUGCCCCAGCCAGGCCUUACCCGCCAUGCUGCCAUUCCUCCUUCCUACGUCUCUCUCAACCUCGAGAGGGUAGUGGAGCUCGCGUCAGAUGACAUCCAAGAUGCAAGCCAGAGCAGAGUGGCUUGAGUCGCCGUGUUACUCGGGUGGGUCUCAUAGUACCCAGAACACCUUUAGAAGAGGAGUUUUCCUCCAGUCUCCGGAAUGUCACUCUGUACACAGGAAGCAUCGAAACAGCUGGCAAGUAAGUGCUUCAUUUUGCAUCAAGUAGCUGUUAUCAGUGCUUGGGUGGAGUGACUACUGUGCCUUUGAUUUCCCCAAAAGUCCUCAAAUUUACUCUCAGAUUUCAA